UACGAAGGGGGCUAGCGUUGUUCGGAUUUACUGGGCGUAAAGCGCACGUAGGCGGAUCGUUAAGUCGGGGGUGAAAUCCUGGAGCUCAACUCCAGAACUGCCUUCGAUACUGGCGAUCUUGAGUCCGGAAGAGGUGAGUGGAAUUCCGAGUGUAGAGGUGAAAUUCGUAGAUAUUCGGAAGAACACCAGUGGCGAAGGCGGCUCACUGGACUGGUAUUGACGCUGAGGUGCGAAAGCGUGGGGAGCAAAUAGG
rnacentral:rRNA from 1 species